GCUGGCGGCGUGCUUAACACAUGCAAGUCGAACGGAAAGGCCCUUCGGGGUACUCGAGUGGCGAACGGGUGAGUAACACGUGGGUGAUCUGCCCUGCACUUUGGGAUAAGCCUGGGAAACUGGGUCUAAUACCGAAUAUGACCAUGCACUUCCUGGUGUGUGGUGGAAAGCUUUUGCGGUGUGGGAUGGGCCCGCGGCCUAUCAGCUUGUUGGUGGGGUAAUGGCCUACCAAGGCGACGACGGGUAGCCGGCCUGAGAGGGUGACCGGCCACACUGGGACUGAGAUACGGCCCAGACUCCUACGGGAGGCAGCAGUGGGGAAUAUUGCACAAUGGGCGCAAGCCUGAUGCAGCGACGCCGCGUGAGGGAUGACGGCCUUCGGGUUGUAAACCUCUUUCAGCACAGACGAAGCGCAAGUGACGGUAUGUGCAGAAGAAGGACCGGCCAACUACGUGCCAGCAGCCGCGGUAAUACGUAGGGUCCGAGCGUUGUCCGGAAUUACUGGGCGUAAAGAGCUCGUAGGUGGUUUGUCGCGUUGUUCGUGAAAACUCACAGCUUAACUGUGGGCGUGCGGGCGAUACGGGCAGACUUGAGUACUGCAGGGGAGACUGGAAUUCCUGGUGUAGCGGUGGAAUGCGCAGAUAUCAGGAGGAACACCGGUGGCGAAGGCGGGUCUCUGGGCAGUAACUGACGCUGAGGAGCGAAAGCGUGGGGAGCGAACAGGAUUAGAUACCCUGGUAGUCCACGCCGUAAACGGUGGGUACUAGGUGUGGGUUUCCUUCCUUGGGAUCCGUGCCGUAGCUAACGCAUUAAGUACCCCGCCUGGGGAGUACGGCCGCAAGGCUAAAACUCAAAGAAAUUGACGGGGGCCCGCACAAGCGGCGG
rnacentral:rRNA from 1 species